rnacentral:rRNA from 1 species
GACGUAGGGCGCGAGCGUUGUCCGGAUUUAUUGGGCGUAAAGAGCUCGUAGGCGGCUUGUCGCGUCGGCUGUGAAAACCCGCGGCUCAACUGUGGGCGGGCAGCUGAUACGGGCAGGCUGGAGUUCGGUAGGGGAGAAUGGAAUUCCUGGUGUAGCGGUGAAAUGCGCAGAUAUCAGGAAGAACACCCGUGGCGAAGGCGGUUCUCUGGGACGGUACUGACGCUGAGACGCGAAAGCGUGGGGAGCGAACAGG